rfam:Actinobacterium acAcidi AMD-COM-C836, whole genome shotgun sequence.
GGGGCUGACAGGUUUCGACACCAGUUUCGUUGUUCGUACGUGCGACCCGAAUUGCUCAGAUUCGUUAAACGGGGCAAAAAACAGAAUUGCCAACGAGCAGUUCGCUCUCGCAGCCUAAUUCUUAGGUUGUAGAGAGACAUCGUGACCAGCAAUGGCGCACGGGGCCAAUUCAUCGCAGCCCGGCAACAGAAGCGAAGGAUGACGGCGAGAAAGACAGCUGACGUUGGGAAAGACCAAUGACCUGCCGGAAAGACGACACGCGGUUUUCGUAAGAAAGCAAUCGACCCGUCGAUGAUGUUGCGUCAGCAUUACAACGGGGAUGGUCGUAUCACUGGCGAAUAGCGCCUGAUGGACGGGGGUUCGAUUCCCCCCAGCUCCACCA